GAUCAUGGCUCAGGAUGAACGCUAGCUACAGGCUUAACACAUGCAAGUCGAGGGGAAACGACAUCGAAAGCUUGCUUUUGAUGGGCGUCGACCGGCGCACGGGUGAGUAACGCGUAUCCAACCUGCCCACCACUUGGGGGAUAACCUUGCGAAAGUAAGACUAAUACCCAAUGACAUCCCACGAAGACAUCUGAAUGGGAUUAAAGAUUUAUCGGUGAUGGAUGGGGAUGCGCCUGAUUAG
rnacentral:rRNA from 1 species